ensembl:lncRNA
GGCUGUGCUUAUUCUUGCCAGAAUUGAAGUGAAGAAAAGCACAUUAUUCAGAAUUUGGCUCAGGUGAACUUGGUUGUUUUUCUCUAUCGCACAUGGGACUUACAUAGUCUGUCUAUGCCAGUUACGACAAUUCCAAUGUGUGUUUUUUCCACUGCAACCAAACAUGUUUGGAUGAAAGUUACUGAGUGUCUCCCUGCUCAUGUUUAUUCAGUCCAGUAUUAAGUAAAAUACUAGCUUGUGAGCGACUCUUGUGCUUGGUUGUAUUCACCACUAGAUGGCAGAAGAGUAUAUUUAAAAAAUGCUUUGCCAUUACGUUACAUCAUGCUUUUUAAAUAUUUCUCCUGGUUAUUCUAAAAUAAAUAGCAACUAAGAUAACAUGAUCUACUGAUGAACUAUUAUGCACAGAUAGAUUUGUUUAUCUUCGGCACUUUGACUUUAUUGACAUAUGAAAUCUCCCCAAUCUUGAAUAUUUACUUAUUUGCUUUUUGUCUCAAAUGUCUGUUCUUGUUUAAUUUAAUCUGACCUGUUGAAAGCAGAUGUAAAUGAUGUGCCUGCUCUAGGAUAUGACCAAAUUUGACUUGAGGUCUUGAGGUCUUUACAUUCAAUUAAGUGAGACUGUUUAAGCAAACCAUAUGAGUGUGUGUAAGCGGAGAAUGAGUCAGAGAAUACAACGAAAGAGAGGUGAAGAGGGGGAAGGGGUGACAAAGUGAGAGAGAAAUGAGAUGGAAAGAAAGCAAAUAGCAGCUUCAUGUGUAGGGUUGGUAAAUUCCAUCUGUCUAAUAAUGCAGGAAAGCUACGUGGCACUGGGAGACAGCUGCAGAGAGAGAGAGAGAGAGAGAGAGAGAGAGAGAGAGAGAGGAGAGAGGAAUACAGAAAAAAAGAAGGAUUUUAGGAAGCAAAAGGAUAUUUUCCAGCCUGAGGAACAUUCACAAGGUUAAGAACCAUAAACAAAGCCCUCACUUGGUCGCAUGACUGCCGGUGUUAAAGCUAAAGGUCAAAGGUCAGUAUGCUCGUUUUACACCAGCCCUGGUUUUAUCCCAAAAUGUUAUCUGUGAGGCCAGAUUACAAGGCCCCUGAGCACUCAGGUGUGCUCUUUAGGGUCUUUAUAAGAAUUCCACGUUCCUGCAGUGUAUUUUUUAGGUUGUUUUUAUGAAAGAUGCCACUUUGAAGAAGAAAACCAAGAAAAGGUACUUUUCUGUAUCAAAAUGAGCUGGACAGGGGGUUUUUUCCUCACCCUUUUCGUAUUUUUCGUCCCAGUUCCUUGUUUAGAUAUUCUCCCCUGUCAUCACCUUUCAAAGAACUCAUACAGAGACUAUUUAAGACACAACACAUGAAGUUAUUAGUGGUGUUUGAUAAGGUAUAAGCAUCACUAAAGCAAUUACAUUUUACAAUUUGAGCAAAUUCUUAAUCUUAAAGGGAUAGUUCACCCAAAAGUGAAAAUUACCCCAUGAUUUACUCACCCUCGAGCCAUUCUAUGUGAUUUUCGUCUUUCAGACAAAUACAACUUGCUCUUCCAAGCUUUAUAAUUGCAGUGAAUGGGGAUUAAGAUUUUGAAGGCCAAAAACUGCGUUCAUCCAGUAUUGUUCCUCAUUUUGUUUUUCUAAUUUGUUACCGGUGUUUUGUUUUGUUCUCUCCUCUACGCUUCUGUGUUUGUCACCGCGUCACCUACAUUCUAUGUCAUCCUCUGGAACACCACUCGCUUAGUAAAAUCUUAAAUAUGUGUACUUUUCUUACAAAAUGUAUCGAUUCACUUCAGAAGGCCUUUAUACAGCCCCAAGACCCAUGAGGAGAACUUCUCUUCAUGAUGAAUGGACACAGUUUUUUUGGCCUUCAAAAUCUUAAACCCCCUUUACUGCCAUUAUAAAGCUUGGAAGAGCCAGGACAUUUUUUAAUAUUACUCCAAAUUUAUUCAUCUGAAAGAGUAAAGUCAUGUCCACC